AAUGCUCAACAAACACUCUUCAGACUGACCAAGCUUUUUGUAUCUCUCUGUCUCUCAGUGUUCAUUUAAGUUGCUUAACUGCCAAUUUGCUGAAGAAGGUAUUGAUUUCAAUAUUGCUGUUCUGGCUUAUACUCCAUUGUUUAUGCGCAUUGCAUUUGGGUACGUUUGAAGGCAGACUUCAAUGAGGGGGUUAGAUCAUAAUUACUCAAAACUUAAAUGCAUGCCACUACCCACUUAUCAUCAUGUCUGUAUGUCUGUAUCAGAACAAAAGAUUUACAGUCAAAGAGAAUGGAUCCAUGCUCAUUUCCUAUAUUUCUCCAGGCCAGAGAUUCCAAGAAUACAACAUGAGUCCCAACUCACCACAGAAAACAGACUCUUGAAAAAGAGUCCUGAGAGAAACAGUUGAUUUGGUCAAACAGAUUUGGAGUCUGCUGUUGAAAAGUACAAGGGCCAUGAAGGAAGUUCAACUUUGAAAGUAAAGUGGAAGAGAGGACGAGAAGAUGCCGCCGUAGUAAGAAAAAGAACCUUCACAAGGCAUGUAAUUUUAAUCCAAAAUAUACAAGAAUUCCACAGGGCAUUUGCCUGAAAACUAAAUCCUUAUCCGGGAAGUAUAUUCCCCUCUCAUCCUUUCGGAUUUCUAAAUAUAGUGCAUGAACAUUAUUAUGUAACAAGACACAGAAUGCACUGCUCACUAUUUUGACUCUCGACUAAAUUUCGUGUUCGAUAUUUUUUUUUUUUUUUGGACGAAUUCUUCUUACAA
rnacentral:lncRNA from 1 species